CUAUGGCUCCCAAAGUCCCAAAAAGAGUGCCCAUAGCCGUUGAAACCGUUGGCAUAUUUUCCAUCUUGUUCACUUCCCCAAUGCAUUGGUUACUGGAGCCGCAUUGGCACACGCUGACUGAGGGGUCAAAAGGUGGAGAAUUAGCAAUAAUGGAUCCUAUAGGUCGCAUAUGAUUAAUGCUAUCAGUUCAAUUAACCAUAUCAAACCGAAGGGCUUUUCACUAGGGCUCUCAUUGGUUUGGAAACUGAACUACAAACUGAGAAUUGUCUGGAAUUCAAAUUGUAUUUCCCAUUUAUGGCCCCAAUAACCAAACUGCAUCAAUUCUCCAAGUUACC